rnacentral:misc_RNA from 1 species
UAACAUAAAGGCAGGCU